AUUCCAGCUCCAAUAGCGUAUAUUAAAGUUGUUGCAGUUAAAAAGCUCGUAGUUGGAUUUCUGGCAGGAGUGACCGGUCACGCACUCUGUGCGUGAACUUGUGUUGUCUCUGGCCAUCCUUGGGGAGAUCCUGUUUGGCAUUAAGUUGUCGGGCAGGGGAUACCCAUCGUUUACUGUGAAAAAAUUAGAGUGUUUAAAGCAGGCUUAUGCCGUUGAAUAUAUUAGCAUGGAAUAAUAAGAUAGGACUUCGGAACUAUUUUGUUGGUUUGCGUUACGAAGUAAUGAUUAAUAGGGACAGUUGGGGGUAUUCGUAUUUCGUUGUCAGAGGUGAAAUUCUUGGAUUUCCGAAAGACGAACUACUGCGAAAGCAUUUACCAAGGAUGUUUUCAUCA
rnacentral:rRNA from 1 species